rnacentral:misc_RNA from 1 species
AAAAAAGGUAUUUAGUAAAAAAAACAUCACAUCAAAAGUAACACCAAGCAACAGCUGAUGGUCUUUGAAGGUUGGAUCAGUUUCUAUAUGAAUAAUAGAUACAAAGCCCCAAGCUCAAAUGUAAAUGAAAAAUUUUUUGUAAAAGAGAGGCAAGAAGAUGGGAAAAAAAAUAAUAAUCAAUAAUAAGGCCAAAAAAGAAAAAGAAAAAUGGAGAGACUGAAGAUUCUACUGCAAAAAACAGAAUGUUCUCGGGUAUUCAUUGCACCUGCUAUCUGGAGAGAUGCAAAAUCCGAUCAACUGGUAAUGUUGUAACGCGUUUGCAGCAGCUGACAAUUGCCUCCAACUAAACUCCAAUCCAAUGAUCCUUGAAUCAUGUAAAUAAAUCUGUUCAGAAAAUGCAUUCUGUAUAGCCACAGCCUGGAAGGUGACAGCAAUCUGAUCAUUUGUUUCCAGGGAAUGACCCUUCUUAGAUUACUGUUGCUGCUAAAUCCUUAUCUUACUGGCUACAAACUUCACUGUUCCCUUCUAAUUCUAGGAGUGGAUGAGCCUGGACGAUAGGCUUGGACUGGUUGUGUCUCAGGAUCGUACAUUUGGGAAGCAAGAUAAGUAAGGGCUGUGACUACGUCAGCUAUAAGGGGUCGCAUAUUAGGCUGUUCCUGAACACACAUUGCAGCAACAGCAAGAGCUUGGUACAAGCCCCUCACUGGAUAUUGACCUUGUAAUAAUGGGUCAGCCAUCUGUGAAAACUUCCUUCGAUCUUUGAACAAUGGCCUUGCCUGCAAUACAGGAGCAAUAUGCCAAUAUCAGACUGGAUUCCAUUAACUCGAUCCUCAGAGAGCCUCUCUACUCAUAAAAAUCAUGUGCUAUUGCGCUGAAGUUCUCCACAGAAUUCUUAGAACAGAAAAUAACAUUGCAAAUACUGUGGGGAGAAAAAAUUCUAUCCUAGUAGAAUGUAACUCCAUCUUUCUCCACCCUUGAUGAACUGAACCCUUUGUUUGAUAUUCAAGAAAAUUAUAAUGAGCGCAAUUAGUAUAUAACAUCAUUGACCUCUUGCCCAAAACAAAGGGAGCUGCACAAAAAAUAUCACUAGUUCACAACAGCUAAGUCUGGUCUGCAAAGGUUAAUACAGCUAUCUGAUGGUUUGAGCAUAAAGUUUUGAAGAGUAGCAGAAGAUUGCUGGCUAACUUUGUCAAGAAGUCCUUAGGCAUGCAGUAAUAGAUUGACAGCUAACCAUGUUGAGAAUUUACAUAAAAUUAGAAGACCAAAUUUGGUCAGACUUUCAUGGAUAUUGGAUUGCUAGGUUUACUCCAAUCAAUAAUAUCUUCAAAAAUGAAAAUAUAAAACAGUAGCACAUGGGAAGACUUAGCUAUCUUACCCAUGCAACGAGAUUAUGCUCCCCAGCAGCUCUUGAAUUGUCAAUAGCUUUCCUUCCAGUAAUAAUCUCAAGAAGAACAACACCAAAGCUAUAUACAUCUGAUUUAAGUGUAAGCUGACCUGUCAUUGCAUAUUCAGGAGCACAAUACCCAUAGGUUCCCAUCACUCUGGUGGAUACAUGGGUUUUGUCUCCAACAGGACCCACUUUUGCUAAACCAAAAUCAGAGAGCUUCGGAUGAUAACCUUCACCAAGUAAAAUGUUUGAGCAUUUCAAAUCACGAUAUAUAACAGGGGGAUUAGCUUUGUCAUGCAAAUACUCCAAGCCCUUUGCAGCACCGGCAGCUAUCUUCAUUCUUGUAUUCCAAUCAAGUCGUUUUUUAUCAGGUGGAAGGUCUGAAAAACACAACAUAUAAAAGAAACAUCACCGAAACACAUCAAAGGAAGCUACAUGAAGUUAUAUAUAACUACUGCAAUAAUUAAAUAAGAGAAGGCAGUCAAUCGGAUAAGACUUCAAAGGACAUAAGCAUGAAUACUUAAGCACCAUAUUUCCAUCCUUCCUGUACAAUGGUUGGCAGGAUGACUGAGAAAAAAUAAACAAGUAUGAUUAGAUAUUUGGAACGUAAGUUUUAAACAAUAUCCAAGAUAUGAAUGAAUAAAAAAAAUCCAGCAGUCAACUAGUCCAUGAAAACUUAAAUGGUUCAAAGAUGUUCAAAUCUGUGAUCAGCAAUUAAUUAAUACAUGAAAACUUCAAUGGUUCAAAGCUCUUCUAAUCUACAAUCUCUUUCACUGACAUGUGCAACACACAAGAUGAAUAAUUAAUGGUCGUUCUAGAAAUCAAAAUUUAUGUACAUACCAUGUAAAUGGUCUUCCAAAGAUCCUAAUGGCAUGUAUUCAUAAACCAAAAGUCUUUGAUCUCCAUCAGCACAGUAGCCAAUCAAGUUAACAAGAUUAGGAUGGUGAAGUAGGCUCAACAUUAAUACUUCAACAAGAAAUUCCCUGUUCCCUUGCAGCCCAUUACGAUCAAGUUGCUUGAUAGCGACAACCUGAUCGGUACUUUCCAAUCUCCCUUUAUAUACUCGGCCAAAACCACCUUCACCCAAAAGACAAUCUGCCCUGAAAUUCUUUGUUGCAGCAGCCAAUUCACGAAACGUAAAUGUAUGUACUGCAAUUUGAUCAGAGCCUCCAUCUGUAGAGGUCUCCUUCUUCACAUCCAGCACCAAAUUUGGCCUUGUUUUAGCUGAAGAUGAUGGGAUCUGAUCAUCAGGCCUCUUCUUCAGAGUCUUCUUCGCAUUUUUGCUUGACUUCCCAGCACAGGGAAACCAGCCCAUCACUUGUUCUCUUUCUCACUUCAAUGAGUAUCACUGCAAAGCAGAGAGAGAUAGCAAAAACAGACCAAACACUGAGAGAGAGUUGAACUGACCCAGGU